UUACCUACUCUUGACAUCCAGAGAAGCUUGAAGAGAUUCGAGUGUGCCUUCGGGAACUCUGAGACAGGUGCUGCAUGGCUGUCGUCAGCUCGUGUUGUGAAAUGUUGGGUUAAGUCCCGCAACGAGCGCAACCCUUAUCCUUGUUUGCCAGCACUUCGGGUGGGAACUCCAGGGAGACUGCCGGUGAUAAACCGGAGGAAGGUGGGGACGACGUCAAGUCAUCAUGGCCCUUACGAGUAGGGCUACACACGUGCUACAAUGGCGCAUACAGAGGGCGGCCAACUUGCGAAAGUGAGCGAAUCCCAAAAAGUGCGUCGUAGUCCGGAUUGGAGUCUGCAACUCGACUCCAUGAAGUCGGAAUCGCUAGUAAUCGUGGAUCAGAAUGCCACGGUGAAUACGUUCCCGGGCCUUGUACACACCCUGAUCCUUGCAUGGCCCUAUACCCCCCU
rnacentral:rRNA from 1 species